rnacentral:rRNA from 1 species
GACGAACGCUGGCGGCGUGCCUAAUACAUGCAAGUAGGACGCAGUUGCGAACGGGUGAGUAACGCGUAGGUAACUACCUAUUAGAGGGGGAUAACUAUUGGAAACGAUAGCUAAUACCGCAUACUAGUAGAUGGACCUGCGUUGUAUUGGCUAGUAGGUAGGGUAAUGGCCUACCUAGGCAACGAUACAUAGCCGACCUGGGGAGGAGGUCGGUCACACUGGGACCUGAGAAAGGCCCAGACUCCUCCGGGGGGCAGCCGUAGGGGAACAUCGGCAAUGGGGGGAACCCCUAACGAGCAACGCCGGGUGAGUGGAGGAGGUUUUCGGAGCGUAAAGCUCUGUUGUUAAAGAAGCGGUACUUAACCAGAAAGCGACGGCUAACUACGUGCCAGCAGCCGCGGUAAUAC